AUAUCGGGGGUGCACUGGCACAGAGGAAAGGCCAUGUGAAGCAAGAAGGCAGCCAUCUGCAAGCCAAGGAGAGAAAUUUCAGAAGGAACCAACCCUACCGACAUCUUGAUCUUGGACUUUAAGCUGCCAGACCUUUUAUACAUUUUCUACAGAAAAUGCACCCCAUCAUUGCUUAUAGCCCACCCACGUGGACUGCUCAUUCUGUGAAUCAUGUUUUACAGAUUUGUUUAUGUGGCAUUCCUCGUUUGAAUAAAGCAGAACCAAAUGUCUUGGUUUGAAGAUUGAGAUGAAAUGGGAGGGCCACAAAUAGUAAUUUAUCUUUGAGCAUCGUAUAGAUAAACAUGUAACCUGAUACUAAACAAAAGUAAAUGCUCAUGGACUGUCAGUGAUGUGGUGGGAUAUGCCAGAGGGAAGUGAUUUGUGGACUCACUGGAGAGAGACUUCUACUAGAAAAAUUGCCUUGAUGUUAGGAAUUAAAAAAACAAAACAAAACAAAAAACAUGGAGCCGUAUUCUCCAGAAGCUUACAUCUGAUUUAACGAGACAGCAAUAGGAAGCCAAAGGGUCCCUGCAGAGGAGGGUUGCAGCACGAUAACUCUACAGCUGGACAGAGACAGAUUGCAGGGGAGCAAGAAUGAAUGGCAGGCCAGCUGCCAGAAGCUUCUCACUCCGUGGAGACCUUGGAGUCGAGGAUGAAAUGUCUUACAACUGUGGGGAGACCUUGGCUUUUCCAAAGCCUACCAGGGUCCAGCCCUAUAUUCUGCAACUAUGCUGGCAGAUUUAGGAGGUGAUAACUGCUGGGAAGAAGUUGUUAAAGAGAGAACUCAGAGCCCCCAUGCUCCAUCCUCAACCACUGGCUGACAGGGAAGGACUCCAAGCAGACAGUGGGUGAUACUGUUGCUACUGGUCUUUGAGAACUGCUGACUUACAAUGUAUGGACAGGUAAAUAGGGUUCAUUCUCCAGCCACCUCUCAUCUACCAAAGAAAGUGCAGGCUCCUGUAGCAUGUAAAGGAGGACUUGGAAGCUAAGGCCCAGAGAGGAGGAGAAACUUGAUCAAAGUCAAUCAGACAAUGCAGAAUCGAGAAAAGUACCUGGACCUCUAUGCCCAUGCUUCUAGCAGCCAGCCUCCUAAAAUACCUCUAGUUGAAGCCAAAGUUAGAAUCCUUCUACGAAACUACAGGAUUAAAAUGGAAUGGUUACAUGACCCAGGCUUGACCAAUCAGAUCAUCCAAACCCUUUGCCACAGUGAUUGGUCCAGGGAUACAUGCAUGAGCCAGCUCAGGCUGGACUUUGGCUUGGGAUAAAAGGUAUUAAAAAAAAAAAAAAAAGAAAGAAAGAAAGGAAGAAAUCAUGCGUAAGCAUGCAAAGAGGAACACAGCCAAGGGAAUGGAAUGCAGUGCCUGACCUGGAGCUCUCUGGCUUCUUUCAGUGAGAAGUGCCAUCCUUCUCUUCAGUUACAACUCCCUUCUGACAUGUGACUUAUUGCUUUUAUACAGAAUAGAUUGUCAUAAGUGGUGGAUUGGACAGGACUUGCUUUGGCUUAGGAGACAUAUUAUAUCCAUGCAAAAAAAAUUUUCACUGAACUAUGGAUCCCUUAAUUGCUUUAGCUAUAGAAUGAGCA
rnacentral:lncRNA from 1 species